rnacentral:rRNA from 1 species
UACGGAGGGUGCGAGCGUUGUCCGGAUUUAUUGGGUUUAAAGGGUGCGCAGGUGGCCCGGUCAGUCAGUGGUGAAAUGCGGCCGCUCAACGGUCGAACUGCCAUUGAUACUGCCUGGCUUGAGAGGAGUGGAGGCCGCCGGAACGGACGGUGUAGCGGUGAAAUGCAUAGAUAUCGUCCAGAACGCCGAUUGCGAAGGCAGGUGGCUACGCUUCGUCUGACACUGAGGCACGAAAGCGUGGGGAGCGAACAGG